rnacentral:rRNA from 1 species
UACAGAGGUCCCGAGCGUUGUUCGGAUUCAUUGGGCGUAAAGGGUGCGUAGGUGGCGCUGUAAGUCGGGUGUGAAAUUUCGGAGCUUAACUCCGAAACUGCAUUCGAUACUGCGGUGCUUGAGGGACUGGAGAGGAGACUGGAAUUCAUGGUGUAGCAGUGAAAUGCGUAGAGAUCAUGAGGAAGACCAGUGGCGAAGGCGGGUCUCUGGACAGUUCCUGACGCUGAGGCACGAAGGCCAGGGGAGCAAACGGG